rnacentral:rRNA from 1 species
CAUGGAGUUUGAUCCUGGCUCAGAUUGAACGCUGGCGGAAUGCUUUACACAUGCAAGUCGAACGGUAGAGGGGGUCAACCCCUUGAGAGUGGCGAACGGGUGAGUAAUAUAUCGGAACGUGCCCAGUCGUGGGGGAUAACGUAGCGAAAGUUACGCUAAUACCGCAUACGAUCUAAGGAUGAAAGCGGGGGAUCGCAAGACCUCGCGCGAUUGGAGCGGCCGAUAUCAGAUUAGGUAGUUGGUGGGGUAAAGGCUCACCAAGGCGACGAUCCGUAGCUGGUUUAGAGAGGACGACC